rnacentral:rRNA from 1 species
CAGUAGCCACGGGAAUACAGAGGGUGCGAGCGUUAAUCGGAUUUACUGGGCGUAAAGCGUGCGUAGGCGGCUUCUUAAGUCGGAUGUGAAAUCCCUGAGCUUAACUUAGGAAUUGCAUUCGAUACUGGGAAGCUAGAGUAUGGCAGAGGGGGGUAGAAUUCCACGUGUAGCAGUGAAAUGCGUAGAGAUGUGGAGGAAUACCGAUGGCGAAGGCAGCCCCCUGGGCCAAUACUGACGCUCAUGCACGAAAGCGUGGGGAGCAAACAGGAUUAGAUACCCCUGUAGUCCCUGUCUCUUAUAC